UUUCUUCCAAAAAUUUCGUCAUAAAUUUUAAUUGCUCUUAUCUAAUCAUAUCAGUGCGUUUGGGCUAACAUUUGCCAGAAAGUGUGUCAAUAAAUAUGUACGUACAUAUUUAGAAAUGCAGACAGAUAUACGUACAUGCAAACGUAUUAAAUGCAACACAGCUAAAAGUGAAUCGCGCAGUUAUCAGUAGCGGCCAAAAUUUGUCUGUGUAUUAGUGAAAGAGUGCUCCGGGGCGUAUGAGUGUAGAAAUUCUUGCUUAUUUGAAAAUCAAACAUAUACUUAUAUGUACAUGGUGUUUAUACUAUAGCAUACAUAAAUAUAUCCAUAAGUAUUUUGAGAAAAAAAUCGCAUAGAAAUUUGACAAAUAAAUUGAAAGUAUUGUGAACCCAAUAAAUAUGUCAACUGCAGCCUAGACCAAAAAUUCGCUAUCUUCAGCCAUUAAUACAUUAUACACAAAACGAAGACUCCAAUGAUGAAAAUCUGAACAUUGAAGAUUUUGGUGAUGCACUUAAUAGGCACUGUCCCAACAAUAACAACAACACCCACAUCCAUCAUUUAAGCAUCUAGUACUAGCGGCAUCAAGACCACUGUCAUUCAUUUCGGUGAUAGUCACUGCGGAAGCGGUGACACAAACUACAACAACAUCAACAAUAUCCAUAAUAACAACAAAAAAAACUACAACUCUAACAAUAGUAACGCUGCCAAUACAAAAUUCCAACAGAUAAAACAACAAAAAAAAAACGUCACAGAUUACAUCAACAGCAGCCGUAUCAACAACAGCAGCAAUUGCGGUAAUACGAGUUUUUACCAAGCUACAGGCAACACAAGCCAAUAGCAAGAGCAAUAACAACAGCGCUAACAAAGCCAGUUAUAUUAGGUUUUGCAGUAACAGUAACAGCAGAAAAAUGCGCCGCAAUGUAAAAUUCAUUGUUUUUGUUAGCAUCAUUUGGAUAUUCGUCAUGGUCUACUACUUCCAGUCCAGCACGGAAAAGGU
rnacentral:lncRNA from 1 species